CUUUCUUUCUUUCUUUCUCUCUUUCUCUCUUUCUUUCAUUUAACACCUUUUUUGUUUGUUUGUUUGUUCGUUUGUUCCGGGAUUAGAGUUACUUUUAUUUUUUCGAGUUCUUUUAAAAUAUUUGAGGACACUAACUUGUUUAGGGCAGGAUCAGCAUUUAUGUACCAUUCAUGGUUGUGCCGCUGGACUCUUUUCUCUUUGUUCGGUGUGAAGGGGAAGGAAACCUGGCCGUACCUUUCUCAUGUACAGGUGGAAAUGAUGAAGGGGGGUUUAAAGUAGGAGAGAGUAUACAAGGAUGCUGAAAGUACUUGAUGGCGCUCAAUUGUAUCGUAUCGACAGUUUUGAUACCUUGGUCCUGUCUGGAGUAGAUGAUGUCCCACUGAGCAUCCGGGAGCUGCUUUGCUGUGUGCUGAACAGCCUUCGAUGCCUCGAGAUGGGAGUUUUCCAUGUCGAAGCUUAGUUAUUUCGACUUUACCUCGACACUUCAUGGACUGAGCAAUAAUAGCGGAAAUUCCACCGCCAACCAUACCUAAGACAAUGCUGCUGUCGAUUCUGCCACAAUUAAGAAACUGGUUGAGCGCACCGCGCACUGUUUUCUCCUGCUAAACCAGCUUGCUUGACCAGACUUUUGGAGAAUUCCGUGCAUGUGUCACAGGCGGAUGGUAUUUGGAUUAGGUACAACUAUAGUGCAGUUGGAUUAUCAAGUGUUCAAUCUAUUUAGGCUUUGGCAUUUCAGGAUUGACCAACAGAUCGAUCAAGUGGUUCACGUCGUUGGGUUAUUGAUAAAAGUCGACAUGCAGCAUUCACUAUGUUAAAUACCAACAAAGAGAAAAUGUUCCACCUCCCGGUAUAUUGCCAUUAGUGAUCCUGGUCAUACUUUUGGAAUGGUUUUUGUAUGGAAGAGACUGGUCGUUAAUUGAUGGAUGGUUUUAAUCACUUUA